UCAUAUUUUUUUUGCAUCUAAUUCUAGUAAAAACUGAAAGAACAAAAAAAAAAAAGCUGUUAACGGGUUUUAAAUGAUUUUUUAAAGAGAAAUUCAACUCGUUUAAUCAAUUGUAUAUAUACACAACAGUACUUUAAAAAAAAGAGAGAGAGCCGUAAAUCAUGAUUGAUUGCCGUACUGAUCGUUUUGCAGCAGUUGGGAGCAACAGGAAUACGGCAUGAGAGAACCUGAAGAAGAAGAAAAAACGUUGCCAGGUUUUUGUCACUUCUUCAUGUAAUGUUCUGAUGCCCCGACACUCCCAGCGUGUGCUUCCGGUUCCGGUGUGGAGCUAUCCUGUUCAGCUGUUCUGCUUUCAGGUAGAAAGGAACCCGAAUUCGCACAAAGCACCCAGUUGUUAACCUGGUUUUAUUCAUUCCAAGCCUCAGUAACGCCAAACAAGUCGAUAAGUAGUGCCCUGUCCUGUGGGUGGAGGUUUCAGGAAUAAAACACUCUCCAUAGGUCUAAUAAAUAAACAAAAUAUUAUCGCAGGCUCGUCGUGUUUAUCAUGAGCUACAGCACUUCUUCAUAUCAGUUUAAAACUACAUCAUCAUCAUCAUCCACUUUUAUUGAAGAUAUUCAUGAGAAACCCAUUUAGUUUCAGGUCAGAUUUUCCUCAAACACGCGAUCACACGAUGAUCCAACACGGAUCGUCAGAUUUUGGAUGAACUUGUGGCGUCCAUGCCAGCUCGAGAGCACGCUGUCGUUAAAGGAAUAGGGGAGACGUACUGACUGUAAAGAAAUUCCGAAGCUCACAACCCCAGGUUCCUGUUUGGGACCGAGUCUAGUUCUGUGACAUCACGGGGAAAAGAAACCGAAAGGGUUCGUGACUUACCCGUGGCCCUCUGCGUCCAGGGUUUCCUUUGGCCCCGAUAACCCCGACUGCACCGUACAGUCCCUGAGGAGAAGCCAUCAAGAAAAUCUAAAUGAGGACCCUGAAGAGAGAGAGCGAGAGAGAGAGAGAGAGAGAGAGAGCAGAACACUAUGACUGAGACAAACACAUGAGGAGUCAAAUUACUGAGACCGAGGACCACAAAAGGGCUGCGGGGAACCCGGAGCCUGGCCCAGGGGACUCGGGGCACGAGGCAGGGGACACCCGGGACAGGGUGCCAACCUAUUGCAGGGCUCUCUCUCUGUCUCUCUCUCUCUCUGUCUGUCUGUCUGUUUGUCUCUGUCUCUCUCACACACACACACACAAACACACACUCAUGUAGCAGGGACAAUUUAGAGAUGCCACUCAGCCUACAACCCAUAUCUUUGGACUCGGGAGGAAACCGGAGUACAGGGAGGAAGUCCUCAAAGCACGUGGACAACAUGCAAACUCCGCACACACCGGGUGGAGGCGGGACUCGAACCUCACAACCCCAGAAGUGUGAUGCUAAUCGCUAACGUUCUACUAUACUUAAGUACAAGUCCUAUAAAAUGUCAUUCAAAUAUAGUAACAAAGUAUAAUUACUGGAAAAUUUUGGGUUUUAGCAAAACAAACAAAAAAACCUACCACUAUUAGCUAAUUUUAAUUAUACAAUCUCGUUAAUCCACCGUAAACAGUCACCGAGUGUGGUUACGAGCCACACGAGGAAAAAGCAGCGAAACCGACAUGCCACGUCCUUCUUCCUAAAUUAGUGAUGCUUAGCACAGACACCUACACGCGCACACACACACACAGACAGACGCAGGGCCUCCAAUGUGCUGCUUCUUGUCCCCUGUGUUUACUGCCUUGGCAGAGUUCCACGUUAGGUUACGCUCACAGAUGUGAUCCUAAGCAGAUGCGCACCCACCAGAAACGAAAACCCGACCAACUCAUGUCUGAAACGUGGACCAGUGGACGAGUUACUCAUCCACGAUGUUAAAUUAUGCCCCCGCUGACACGUCCAAUAUACAAGCGCGCCGUUCCGAUCGAGCCUUUGCGGAUUUUCUCGCUUUUGUUUACUGCUUCGGGAGGAAUUCUGUCGGCCGAGCUCAAACAAUCAUAUUUCACGCUCGUGUCUGCUGCGAGACUAGCGAACUCAGCAGAGAAUUUAAAGGCUAGUGUGUCUACAUGUGUGUAUGUAUGAGUAUAUACAGUAUAUGUACGUGUGCGUGUGUUUAUCUUGACGUGACCGCGAUGAAUCUGCAGUACAGUGAGGUGCAGCACCGCGUGAUCCUGACACGGUCUGGAUGCAGCCGGGCUGGAUCUACACGUUCUCCACCGAGGACAGCCAGCGCCACAAGGAAGGCUGAGUCAUCCCGAGAGGGCGCUGGUGCUGGUGAGGGAGAGCGAGGGGCUGGAGGAGCACGUGGCCUUAGGCGCAUCCUGAAAACAGGUGCAUGACAAGGCCGCGUGCUGGUGUUUCCAGAGAGCUGCCAAUGGGAGAAAAGCGGGAACGUCAAUCAGAGGCGUUACACAAACACUGGUCAUAGCCGAUCGACGAGGUGGUCCUCAAAAAUCCGCUUUACCUCGACUGAAAUAUAAGAGAUGGUCAAUAUGAUCGAUUUUUAAAUGCGCAGGCAUGUGUGAUUGAUAAUGUCAAUCAUUUUUUUAAUUAAAAAAAGAGUAGGAGUGAGCAAUAUGUCAUUAAUAAAUCAUGUGAUGUUACGCUGUUACAGGAAAAUAAUCAACGACAGCGUGGUGUGACGAAGCGGAGUUGCUCUCACCCCAAAUAUGAUUGUUUUAUUCCCCUUACACCACAGAAGUGUACAGGCAGUUACUUUCUUUUCUUAUUGCAGAAUCUUAUACUAGACUCUUCUACUUUUAGAAACCUGUUUAUAGUUCAAUGCGAUGUGCAGCAGGUAGCGCCGUUCCCUCCUCAGCCAUGAAGACGUCGUAAAACUUAAAGAGCAAACUUACACACAGCUCUUACAAAGCGCUGCCAAUUUCAUAAACGUCUCCUUACAGAAAACUUCACUGGAUAAAAUGAGUAUGCUUUAGGGAAGCAUCCAACAAGGAAAAGGGUGACAUCUGCAAUGAUUGGUACAAAAGGAUAUGUGGUGCAUGUCAAGAGUAUAUUCUUAGCUUACUGUAUGUGAAAGACACAUAGAUUCAUAUAGUGUAUGAAUAUACUUACUGGGAGAGAUAUGCACACUGUUAUAGACACACUGCAGUAAGGUGCUUGUUAGUUACAUACACACAGUAAAUAUGUUCAGAGACACUGCAGCAACCUACACAUGGUUACAUACACACAGCAACUACCCUCAUAGAGGCACUGCAGCACCGUACACAUGGUUACAUACAUACAAUUACUACAUUCAUAGACAUACUGCAGCAAGGUACACAUAGUUACAUACACAGAAUUAGUACAUUCAGAAACACACUGCAGCAAGGUACACAUGGUUACAGCCCUAGAACCUAUACCCUCAUAGACACAGCAGUUAGAUGCACAUUGAGAUGAUAGCAACACAUAUAUUCAAGGAUUAUUCAAACCAGACACAUAGUGACCCAAGCUGCCCCGAGUAUUGAACCUAGUAUCUAUGAUGAGAGGAGCGCACACACUUAUUUCUCUGAGCCACUUCAACACGCUCUGAGCAGCUGGUAAUUAUAUCUCAGGUCACAUCCUGAGCAGGAGCCUGAAGGUAGCGUGUCAGUGUUGAGGAUAAACUUGAUAAACGCAAAGCUGUUUGUAUGACUGCUUGUGGCGCUCUAGAAAGAUGUAUGCUUCUUAUUCCUGAGGUUCUUGGUUCAAAGCUACCUUCUUAUGUGUAGCUUUUUGCUCUGAUAUGAAUAUGUAUGCAAAACAACCAGUCGCUCUUCAGCAGUAUCAGUGGCACAAUAGGAUAAACUACUGCUCUGAGAUGAUGCUGAAGUCCUGGGUUCAAGUCCUGAUAAAGACUAGGGUUUUAAGUGUAUGUGAAUUUCCAUGAUUUAGCACAAACUUUUAGCAAUGCGUAAUUAUAGUAAGCAGGUUGUUAGUUAUUUGUCUAAUAACUUUAAUAAUAAUUUUAGUGGCACAGGAGUGUGUAUUAUGAGUGUAUAACAUAGCAAAGUAUGUCACAUAUUUAUAUACACUUGUCCAUAUACACCUGCAGGCAAAUACUAGUCACACAAGUAAUAGGCGCCUGCAUAUAUAAAUGUGUAUAUGUAGAU